UACUGACACCAAAACAAACCCCCAAUGAGCGUCUGACUGACAAGGAGCUCAUACUUAGCUUGGGCAGGGUUGAUGAAGAUCUAGAAACGAUUGUUGAAGAUUCAGAGACAGAAGACUAUCCACCGAAACCUUUAUCUACCUCAAAGUCAAACUCAAGAAUCAAACGUCGAUUAGAUUCUACCGCUGAAUUUAAAGCUCAAGACUCUCCCAAAGAGGCGGAGAUAACUCUGAGAUGUAGCUCUAGAACGAAGAGGAGAUUAGAGUCACAGGAUGAAAAUUUAACCCUUGACAAGCAGGAGCCUCUGACUCCCAAGUCAAAACAGAGAAUUCCCAAA